rnacentral:piRNA from 1 species
UGGUUUGAUCAUGAUGAAUGCUUCAUGGA